rnacentral:rRNA from 1 species
UACAGAGGGUGCGAGCGUUGUUCGGAAUUAUUGGGCGUAAAGCGCACGUAGGCGGCUUGGCAAGUCGGAUGUGAAAUCCCUCGGCUCAACCAAGGAAGUGCAUCCGAAACUGCUGAGCUUGAGUACUUAAGAGGAUCGCGGAAUUCCCGGUGUAGAGGUGAAAUUCGUAGAUAUCGGGAGGAACACCUGUGGCGAAAGCGGCUCACUGGACCACAACUGACGCUGAGGCGCGAAAGCUAGGGGAGCAAACAGG